rnacentral:rRNA from 1 species
UACGAAGGGGGCUAGCGUUGCUCGGAAUUACUGGGCGUAAAGCGCACGUAGGCGGCUCUUUAAGUCGGAGGUGAAAUCCUGGAGCUCAACUCCAGAACUGCCUUCGAUACUGAAGAGCUCGAGUCCGGGAGAGGUGAGUGGAACUGCGAGUGUAGAGGUGAAAUUCGUAGAUAUUCGCAAGAACACCAGUGGCGAAGGCGGCUCACUGGCCCGGUACUGACGCUGAGGCGCGAAAGCGUGGGGAGCGAACAGG